rnacentral:sRNA from 1 species
AACCUUGUUAGGUGAGGCUACUGUUUGAAGAAACGUUACUACCCAGAAAUGUCGAAAGACGCCAAUGGGUUAACUAAAAUAAUCGAAUUAAGGUUAUUUUUAAUGUGACUGGAACUUCUUCCUACGUCAAACAAAGCUAAAGCUCAAACGAAUAGAG